rnacentral:rRNA from 1 species
GACAGAGGGUGCGAGCGUUAAUCGGAAUUACUGGGCGUAAAGCGUGCGUAGACGGUAGCGUAAGUCAGAUGUGAAAGCCCCGGGCUCAACCUGGGAACUGCAUUUGAGACUGCUCUGCUCGGGUGCGGAAGAGGGAAGCGGAAUUUCCGGUGUAGCGGUGAAAUGCGUAGAUAUCGGAAGGAACACCAGUGGCGAAAGCGGCUUCCUGGUCCGACACCGACGUUCAGGCACGAAAGCGUGGGGAGCAAACAGG